GAUGAACGCUGGCGGCGUGCCUAAUACAUGCAAGUCGAGCGAACAGACGAGGAGCUUGCUCCUCUGACGUUAGCGGCGGACGGGUGGGUAACACGUGGAUAACCUACCUAUAAGACUGGGAUAACUUCGGGAAACCGGAGCUAAUACCGGAUAAUAUAUUGAACCGCAUGGUUCUAUAGUGAAAGACGGUUUUGCUGUCACUUAUAGAUGGAUCCGCGCCGCAUUAGCUAGUUGGUAAGGUAACGGCUUACCAAGGCAACGAUGCGUAGCCGACCUGAGAGGGUGAUCGGCCACACUGGAACUGAGACACGGUCCAGACUCCUACGGGAGGCAGCAGUAGGGAAUCUUCCGCAAUGGGCGAAAGCCUGACGGAGCAACGCCGCGUGAGUGAUGAAGGUCUUCGGAUCGUAAAACUCUGUUAUUAGGGAAGAACAAAUGUGUAAGUAACUAUGCACGUCUUGACGGUACCUAAUCAGAAAGCCACGGCUAACUACGUG
rnacentral:rRNA from 1 species